rnacentral:rRNA from 1 species
UACGUAGGGUGCAAGCGUUGUCCGGAAUUAUUGGGCGUAAAGAGCUCGUAGGCGGUUUGUCGCGUCGGCUGUGAAAACUGGAGGCUUAACCUUCAGCGUGCAGUCGAUACGGGCAGACUUGAGUUCGGUAGGGGAGACUGGAAUUCCUGGUGUAGCGGUGAAAUGCGCAGAUAUCAGGAGGAACACCAAUAGCGAAGGCAGCUCGCUGGGACGUUACUGACACUGAGGCGCGAAAGCGUGGGGAGCGAACAGG